GGCGUUGUAGCAAAGUGGUUACUGCGUUUGACUCGAAUGCUCUAUCUUUCGGCCAUCAAAUCCCUUCGGGGGCGUAGGUUCGAGUCCUGCCAACGUCG
rnacentral:tRNA from 1 species